CACUAUGAGAAGAUGAAGACCUAGCAGAAAAGACUUAAUGGGAAUCCCUGAUUUGUGAAGACAGAGAUGUUGUCUUAUUCACAUGUUUACCCCCAGCCGUUACAGUAAUGUCUGGCACAUGGCAGACACUUAAGAUGAAAACCACUACAAUCAGCGUCACCAAAAUAUGUCUUGGACAAGCCAUUUUAAUUUGAGGCACAUCAGACAACACUGCCCACCUCUACCAGGCCACGUGACUGAAACUACCCAGUGGAAUAUGGAUGGAGUGUUGCAUACUUGUGGACUUGUCCACAAAACCCUCCAACACAGAAUCCUCCAUACUCUUUCACCAUUAGCAGGCCAAAUGGAGAGGUUUCCAAGAAUGCAGAGGAGGGCAAAGCUACAUGAUGGGAGAAGCCUGGGUCACUGAAUCAUCCUCAGAGACAAGCUGUUUGGAGAGGAGCAUCUAAACAAACCUUAUUCUCUUAAGCUACUGAAAUUUUGGGGUUGUUGUUUACAUCGAUUAGCCUGCCCCAAUGAGGUAUGGACUUUGGGUCAAAUUGCCUGAGCUCAAAACCUCAUUUCAUCACCAGCUAUGCAACCUUGGACAAGCUACUUAGCCUCUAUGUGCUCCUGUUCCCUUAUAUGUGAUAUGGUGAUAGUAACAUUAUGUACCUCACAGAGUAUUUGAGGAUAUUGAAUGAGGUAUACAGCCCUAUAAUAAACAUGGCAUGUAAGUUAUUACUA